rnacentral:rRNA from 1 species
GUCUUUUAGAAAUUAAUUUAAAGUCUAACCUGCCCACUGAAUUUUUUUAAAUGGCCGCAGUAUCCUAACUGUGCAAAGGUAGCAUAAUCAUUAGUCUUUUAAUUGAAGGCUGGAAUGAAUGGUUGGAUGAAAUAUUAACUGUUUCAUAAAAAUUUAUAAUAGAAUUUUAUUUUUUAGUCAAAAAGCUAAAAUUUAAUUAAAAGACGAGAAGACCCUAUAAAUCUUUAUACUUAUAAAAUUACAAUUAUAUAGAUAAUUUAAAUUUUAAUUUUUUAUAGUAUUUUAUUGGGGUGAUAUUAAAAUUUAAUAAACUUUUAAUUUAUAAUUUACAUAAAUUAAUGAAUUUUUGAUCCAUUUAUUAUGAUUAAAAAAUUAAGUUACUUUAGGGAUAACAGCGUAAUUUUUUUAGAGAGUUCAUAUUGAUAAAAAAGAUUGCGACCUCGAUGUUGGAUUAAGAUACAGUUUUAGGUGCAGCAGCUUAAACUUAAAGUCUGUUCGACUUUUAAAUUCUUACAUGAUCUGAGUUCAAA